ACCUCUGCAAUAGGCGAAAGCCUGACAGGGUUACUCUGAGUGGUUUCCGCUAAGGGAACCUUUUGGCACCUCUACAAAUGGUGCAGAAUAAGGGGUGGGCAAGUCUGGUGUCAGCCGCCGCGGUAAUACCAGCACCCCGAGUGGUCGGGACGAUUAUUGGGCCUAAAGCAUCCGUAGCCGGUCCUGCAAGUCUUCCGUUAAAUCCAGCUGCUCAACAGAUGGGCUGCGGGGGAUACUACAUGGCUAGGAGGCGGGAGAGGCAAGCGGUACUUUAUGGGUAGGGGUAAAAUCCGUUGAUCCAUAGAAGACCACCAGUGGCGAAGGCGGCUUGCCAGAACGCGCUCGACGGUGAGGGAUGAAAGCUGGGGGAGCAAACCGGAUUAGAUACCCGGGUAGUCCCAGCUGUAAACGAUGCAGACUCGGUGAUGGGCUGGCUUCGUGCCAACCCAGUGCCGCAGGGAAGCCGUUAAGUCUGCCGCCUGGGGAGUACGGUCGCAAGACUGAAACUUAA
rnacentral:rRNA from 1 species